UAGAUUAGGGCACUUGUAGAAUUUGGCGCCGUUUGCUGGAGUAAUGAAGUAUCUGUCUUGUAACCGUGAAGAAUUUUGGAUGGCCAAAGUUGUGACAGGGCUCCUUGUGGCAGAAAAAAAAAGAUUAUAAAAGUACGGCUAAUGCGUAAUUGACUAAAAUGGACUGAAUUCAACAGAAGCCAGAGGCAGUCCAAGGGAGCCUUCUGUCGGCGGACUACAGGAUAUGAUCUUGCUCACAGACACUUGGGUGGGCAUACCUAUUGACAGAGAGUGCUGCAGCAUCCCCACUCACUGUGCAAUUGCAUGUGGUUGUACACAACCACACAUAAGGAGACUUUGCUGACGGGCAUCCAAGCUCACACAUGCUGUUGAUUGAACAUGUGUUUGCAGAACGUCACUGAUGAAUCACAUUUUGAUGUGGACCAGUUGCCAUUGCUCGUGCAGGAUGAUCUGAUUGGCAGAGGGAGCAGGCCUGCUCUUUUAAAUUAUAGGCUUGUGUUGGAUGUCCACAAGAGGUAAUGAGUGGAUAGCCUGAGUCACGCUGUGUGUCGGCCUCUGCACUUCAAUCAACGGCCAUAUCCACUGUGACUGAAAAGAUCUGUAUUUUGUUAUGCUGUGCCCGGCAUAACCACAGAGCGCAUCAUGUGACGUGCCCCAGAGGAGUCUUGUUGAACUUGGAUCCUUCCCCUUGAGUAUGGCCAUCUGUGUCCCUGGAGAGUCAACAGUGACAGCAGUGCACAGUUUCCCAGCAAGGCUCCUAAGAAAAGAUUCAACCAGAGUCUCAUCUCACAUCUGGAUGACCCAGAAGUUAGAGGUCGGGGUUGUCAUGGCAGUUGGAGGGGGCUUAAUUCCAGUUCGCUCUUGUGCUUAGGUUGUCUGUGUUGCUUGGACACAUUGCUCUUUUAGUGCAACUAACUUUGUUGACCAGAAUUGCAUUCAUACAUUUGGUCACAUGAGUGAAAGUAGUUGGCAUAACUUUAGGGGAUUACUCGGGUAACACAAAGGAGAAUAUUAAAAGAGGUGUUAUUGCCAGAGUGGUGUUAGUGUUGUUUUGGGGUUAGAGUUUUAACAUUUGUUUUAAAUGUUCUUAGUCACAUCAAGUGUAAAAAUGUCUGGCCUUGCCUUUUCUACUGAGCACUGCUG